rnacentral:rRNA from 1 species
UACGUAGGGGGGCAAGCGUUGUCCGGAUUUAUUGGGCGUAAAGAGCGUGUAGGCGGCCAGGGAGGUCCGUUGUGAAAACUCGAGGCUCAACCUCGAGACGCCGAUGGAAACCCCCUGGCCUAGAGUCCGGAAGAGGAGAGUGGAAUUCCUGGUGUAGCGGUGAAAUGCGCAGAUAUCAGGAAGAACACCCGUGGCUAAGGCGGCUCUCUAGUACGGUACUGACGCUGAGACGCGAAAGCGUGGGGAGCGAACAGG